CCUUUGACCCAAAUCAGGAGGACUACCCGCUGAACU
rnacentral:rRNA from 1 species